rnacentral:rRNA from 1 species
CGGGGUGAGUAACGCGUGGAUAACCUGCCUCAUACAGGGGGAUAACAGUUAGAAAUGACUGCUAAUACCGCAUAAGCACCCGGGAGCGCAUGCUCCUGAGUGAAAAGCUCCGGCGGUAUGAGAUGGAUCCGCGUCUGAUUAGCUGGUUGGCGGGGUAACGGCCCACCAAGGCGACGAUCAGUAGCCGACCUGAGAGGGUGGCCGGCCACAUUGGGACUGAGACACGGCCCAAACUCCUACGGGAGGCAGCAG